UGGGGAAUAUUGCACAAUGGGCGCAAGCCUGAUGCAGCCAUGCCGCGUGUAUGAAGAAGGCCUUCGGGUUGUAAAGUACUUUCAGCGGGGAGGAAGGCGUUGUGGUUAAUAACCACAGCGAUUGACGUUACCCGUAGAAGAAGCACCGGCUAACUCCGUGCCAGCAGCCGCGGUAAUACGGAGGGUGCAAGCGUUAAUCGGAAUUACUGGGCGUAAAGCGCACGCAGGCGGUCUGUUAAGUCAGAUGUGAAAUCCCCGGGCUCAACCUGGGAACUGCAUUUGAAACUGGCAGGCUUGAGUCUCGUAGAGGGGGGUAGAAUUCCAGGUGUAGCGGUGAAAUGCGUAGAGAUCUGGAGGAAUACCGGUGGCGAAGGCGGCCCCCUGGACGAAGACUGACGCUCAAGUGCGAAAGCGUGGGGAGCAAACA
rnacentral:rRNA from 1 species